GAUGAAGAACGUAGUGAAAUGCGAUAAGUAAUGUGAAUUGCAGAAUUCAGUGAAUCAUCGAAUCUUUGAACGCACCUUGCACCCUUUGGCAUUCCGAAGGGUAUGCUCGUUUGAGUGUCAUUGUACUCUCACACUUCCAAUCUUUGGAUUGGGAGCAGUGGACUUGGGUGUUGCUGCUUACUGUGGCUCACCUCAAAUCGAUUCGUGCACCUCUUGGUUGGACAUAGUACGGCGUGAUAAGUGUCUUCGCCGGCACCUCAGUAGAGGGUGGCUGAUCAGGAGCUCUGUGCUUCAAACCGUCCUCGGACAAAAACUGACAACUUGACCUCAGAUCGAGUAGGACUACCCGCUGAACUUAAGCAUAUCAAUAAGCGGAGGA
rnacentral:misc_RNA from 1 species